AAGUCGAGUGAACACGAGGGAAAUAAAAUUAUACGUCGGUGCAGUGUGGUCAUCUUACAGUCGGACAUAAUUAUUUCUUUUAUUACCUAUUUUUCCUUUUUUACUAAGAUUGCAUUAGUAGGUGGAUUUAGAAUAGAUAAUUAUUAGAUGUGCACCUGGGUAAUUACCACUACUAGAAACCUCCACGUGCCCUCUCCCUUUCUCAAUUUCCAAGUCUCUCUCUCUCCUCUACUAGUCCUCCAUCGAACACAACACACACCAAUACUAGUCCACCAAGAACAGAACACACGCACAUGUCUUCUCUCCCUCCUAUUCCUCUGCUCCUAACCUAGACAGAUCGGCCACGCCGCCAGCGAUGGGAACAUGCUGCUCCGCCACUGCCGGACCUCUCUCUCUCUCCCCUGAUCCAAAUCCCUAAUCUCUAAUCCCCUCUCAGAUUUGACUUGGAGGUUAGGUUCUUGUUGUGCUGUGAUUCAUCUGCUCCAGAAUGAAGCUGUCGGUGUUGGUGUCUGCGGUGCCGCUGGGUGUUGCAGAUAAGAAUUCAAAGGCAUGGCCAUGGAGCAGAUCGAGCAUAAGUGCGGAUAGAAAGAUGAAGACAGUGGGAGGAAGACAAGCUGUUGGUUUGGCUAUUUGGGGAAGAAUGGAGAUGUGUGAAGUCUUGGCAAUGGCUUGCUCUGCUGUCUCUUCUUUUAAUAUCAGAAAACCAUCUUCCUUGGCUGGUAUGGCUGCCCAUCCCCUUCUCCAUUGUUCUCACAGGUGCUAGCUUCUAAUUGGCUGAAGGUUGAAGCCCAUACAUAGACUAUACUGCUGACCCAUUGACUAGUGCACGUGAGGGUGGUGGUCAGUGUGUGUCUCAAAUGUGUCCUGCUAUUCUGGUUGACCCAGAGAUAUUUUUAGGUUGGUCUAAGUUUGUUUGGCAUUGUUGUAUAGAUUAGCAUAGUUUAGUCUCCCUCCAUUUUCUUUUUCCAAAGAUUUGUAAUACACUUGUACAGCUGUACUGUUUGAGGUGUAUGAGUAUAAAUAUAUAUUUGAGUGGUUAUUCUUGUUGAAGAAA